UAGCUUUUGAAGAGGCUAUUCACCCCCCUCUAGCCAUCCAGGAUCCUAACACUAACCGCCCACGGCGGUUCCUCCUCUCCCAUGCGUGCAUAAGCCCGGGACCAAGAGAAGUCGGCAUUUCUUUUCUCCCUCUCCGCGGCCGAGUGACCUUCCUUGUGCCCUAGCGAGCCGCGAGCCGAUUCUCCUCUUGUGUGUCGACGCCGCCUCCCUUCUUCCUCCCUGUCUCAAGCACCGGCGACGCGCGAGCACCGCCGGUCGAGCCUUUCCUUCGAUCGCAGAGCAGAGCCCUUCUCUCUGCUCUAGCGCUGUCCUCCUUCCUUCUCGUCUCUACCCAACGACGCCACCCGAGCCCUAACGGCGAAUUUGCCCUAGCCGAUGCUGUGCCCUAGUUUGUGUUCACCGCCAAGACUCCUCUCUGCCCUAGCCGACUUCACCCUCGCCCCUCUCAGCCGAUUGUCGGCCGCAACCCACAGUGCGCCUCCGACCGACGCCGACCAUCAGAUUCUGCCGAGCCCUAGAUUUCGACUGCCGGGUUCUUUCUUCAUCCAUCGCAGCAACCAUUUCAGCUUUGGUGGGUUUCCCGGAUUGCGUGCAACAGUAGAGUGCUGCUGGUCAGAUAUAAGAAUCGCCAAAGAGGAAGCGAUUGACACUGAUUUAGGUUGGAUAAUUGUAGCAUGCCAGUGUAGAAGGGAUACAAAUUGACUAAGUGUGAAUUAGGUUUAUGUUCAUGUGUUAAUUAGGGUUUUGCCCUAAUUCAAGGACUUUGACGCGAGAUGAGUCUCUCGACGUCAGAUUGGACUGUAUUGGACCUUUCUUAUUGGAGG